UGGGAGAGUGAUCUUAACCCUAACUUUGAUGGCUACCUCUGAAUAAUGAUUUCUCCUCCUCUCCUCCAGGGGCCAGGGGGUCUGGUUUUAUAGUCCCCUCAAGUGAACGUGAGCCGUCAGAUCAAACCGACAUAGAUUGUAUGGUUUAGAUUGAUCCUUUAGGUCGGUGGAGAGUUGUCCCGAAGUAGAGUCCUGAUUGGUUUCCUGGCCAGGGCGGGCGCCCAAGGGGGGUGGGCGGCCGCCCAGCUCCCGAGCCCGAAUUGCGUCCCGUUCGUUCCCGUGGCUUCUGGAUCCUUCUAGAUUGAGGAAAAUUGCGCGGCACGUAAUUAUCUCGUUGUAAACAUGACAUGUGGGCAUUCUCUCCAUAUUUUCUAAUAAACCCC
rnacentral:lncRNA from 1 species